CACCAGCAACUGGAAUGGGGAGGAAACGAGACUAAGAAAGUACCCGAGUCAGAAAGAAGGGGAAGCCCCAUUGGAAGUGUGGGCCCUAAGGACAUGGAAGCUGGCUUUUUGUUUUUUAAGGUCUCAGAGUGAGAAACAAGAUGCUCCAUGUUUAUCUGUGCAGGUGAGAUCCUCACUGUGGCAAGAACCAGAGGAAGGUGUGAUGGCGGGAGGGGGGGUUGCCCAUCGAGGGAGCCUGGCACCUGAGGGGCCUCCUAAGGAUGCACGUGUGACUGGGAGUGAGAAGGUGCCCGGGGCCCUGGUGCACAGCUGAGCACACACACGUUUGCCCCUUGGUCCCCGUCUUUGGAGCUGGGCCCAUCAGAGGACAGAGAUGGUCUAAGGCCUCCUUGCCUUCUCUGUGUGUCUUUGCAUUUUUAAAAGUUGUUACUGUGUUUGCUCUGUCACCUCACGGUUUUGGUACUUCACAGUUAAUCAGGAAGAAUUCAUGGGACACCACGGACGGAGGCUCCUCUGGAAUAUGGAACUGGGCUCUCAGGCUUCCUUUGCACUGCGUGCUCUCUUGUUCCACUUGAACGUCUGGUUCUAAAUUUGUUUCAUUUUCACCAUAAAAUGAGGGGGAAUCAUUGUGAUGAGCAGCGAGCCAUGGUGUGUCUCCCCCAAGACCUUGCUUGAGCAGAUUAGAAGGUGCCUUCAAAAGCCGCUUCUCUCUGCACCCACUCAUUCAUUCAGGACAUAGGUGAUAAGUGUUUCCUACAUGCCAGGCACAGUUCUGAAAGCUGAGGAUACAGCAGUGAACAAACAGAUGAAAAUCCCUGCCCUCCUGGGGGCUUAGAUUCUACCGAGUAUAGAAAGACAUAGAACAAAAUUAAUUUAUUAAGCGUCCCCCUCGUGCCCAGCGGCUUAAGGAUCUGGCAUUGUCACUGCAGCAGCGUGGGUACUUGCUGUGGCUUGGGUUGGAUCCCUGGCCCGGGAACUUGUGCAUUUCAGGAGCACAGCCAAAAUAAUAAUAAUAAUAAACAAUUUGGUACAGGGGAGGAGAAAGGACA
rnacentral:lncRNA from 1 species